GUUUCAGUGCCCUGGAAACACCCCAUGGGUGCUCACUCCUCGGAACUAGAGACAGGCAGUGCCCAGGCAACAGAGGGCUUCAUUGUCAUCGCUGCCUUCUCUUGAGAACAUUUAACCCAGUGGCAGAGCGCCACUGCCUUCUCCCAGGGAUCCAGGAGCCUGCAAGCAGGCAGUGUUAUAUUACUCCUGGGUGGGAACAAAAUCAUGUGGGAGAGACCAGCUUGUCUUCAACAGCAUCUCCCAGUAUUCCCAGUAUCUCCCCAGGCUCCCAGAUGCUGCUGAUGGAACGUAUCUGCUUAGCACCUGCAGAGUUGCAACACCCGGACAGUCUUCGUGAGGAAGGUAACUAUUGGUCUAAGGAUCUGAUCACUGAGAGUGGUCAUUGGAUGGAUCUUCUGAAAUUAAGGAAAAGAGGAAAAUGAGCAAGUAUCUCAAAGAGGUAAAACAACACAAACAUGUAUGUACUACAUCCUAGGCCGGGAGUGUCUCCCAUUCUUCUGUGUACUAGUAAACUCAAGAUGUUAUAGUUGUAUCUGUUGAAGACAAAGUAGCAGAACCCAAAGUUCUGCAAAGACUAGAUUCAAGAAGUGAAAUACUGAAAAAAAGUUUUAAAAAGUCACAAAUGGUCUUUUGCUAAAUGGUGUAUUGGUUCGAAAUAUGAAUAAGUCUUUAUUAUUUCCCAAAUGAGAAAAGGUUACUUGUCUCCUCUGACUAGUUGCAUCAUACUAAUCAGAUGACUAGACUGAAAGCAGCUUGAUUUUUUUUUUUUUUGUAGUAAGCCAUGAGGAAGAGGUCAUUUCCCCUCCACAUAACUAUCUAAUUGACUCAGUGUGGGCAUAUUCACUUGUGUCUGACUCUUUGUGACCCUGUGGACUACAACCCUCCAGGCUCCUCUUUCCAUGGGGUUUCCCAGGCAAGAAUACUGGAAUGGGUUGCUUUUCCUUCUCCGGGGGAUCUUUCUGACCCAGGG
rnacentral:lncRNA from 1 species